rnacentral:lncRNA from 1 species
AAACUAUCUUUGUUAGUUUCAUAUGAAUAAAAUUUUUCCUAAGCAUUUUCCUUUUGAUAUUUUGGGUUUUGUAGUUUUUUCGGCUUUUGCAAUAUUGAAGUCAGCUUUUGUAAAUCUACUAUUUUUAAAGAUGUGCAUUGAUACCAUUAUUAUGUAAAUGCAAGUUUGAAGAUAUGUAAUGUCAUAAUUUCAAUAAUAUCACUAUAUUUUUAAACUAUUGAGGCUUUUUAGCUUUUUCCUAUAUCUAUCUUCAUAAUAGAACUGUUUGGUAAUAUGAUGCAUUUUUUGUGUAUCUUUAUAGAACAAGUCUUAUUGUUCUUAGAAUAUUUUAUUAAAAGUACUCAAAUGGAUUCCAGAACAAAAGGAGCACCAUCUAUUUUUUACCAUGUUACCAUAUGUUAGGUAUUGCACUAAACACUUUAAAUCUAUUAGCACAUUUAUUGCUCAUAUUAGCUCUAUCAGGGAGGUAUUAUCGUCCCAUUUCAUAGACAUGUAAACUGAGACUCAGUGGAUUGGACUGAGGAAUUAGUUCCAUUUAAUUCCAAAGCAGAAAUAUUGUGUGCGACAUGCACAGAGAUAUCAAGGAAUGCACAGGUAACUUUCUCUGAAUGUUCACUAACUAUACUUGAUUGGGAUGUAAAGAUCAACAGAAAGGAACAUCUUUGCCAUUCGCAUCAGUAGUGAAAGCUUUUUUUUAAUUGUGUUGCUCAGAGGCUAAAGUGUAACUCAUCUAGGGCCCUGAUUUUAAGCAACCAAUAAUGAGAGGCUGUUGAAGGGAUAAUUUCCUGCCUGAAAUGGCCAGUCCUUGGAUGAUCUAGGGGGUGGGGUUUGGGGAAAUUCCUUAAGGAACUCUUAGACUCUAAUUGGGGAACCUAAGCCAGGUGAGGUGACCACCAGAGGAUUCAUUUGUUCACUCGGUGUCAAUAGAUAAGUGUUGAUGAGCUGCUAUUUUUUAGACAACUUGUUAGGUAGUACCUGUUAUUCUGAGAGCCAUUGUUGAGGGUGGGGAGGGAACUGAAGCAAACAGUGAGUAAGAAAGAAGUCACCACACUCCAGGGUCAGUAAUCAGAAUCCUACUGCGUAGAAAAGGUAGAUCCUGGCUGAUGCCUUGAAUGGUGGUAAAUUAUAUAUUUUGCUUUUAGUGAUCCUUAGUUUGGGGUAACCUGGCACAGCCAAGCUACAUUCAUGGUAUUAAGUGAAAACAAUGAGGUGUGCCCUAAGAGAAACAUGAAGGUUGCUAGAUUGAGAUUGUUUUCAAGUGCCAGAAGCGAUCCUGGCAGUGCUUCCCCUCUUCUGUUUUUUCCAUGAACCAACAUUUGUAAUAGCCCUCAAAGUUCAGCCAGCCACCCUGCCAUACCAUCUUUACUUUUAUACAUCUGGCUACCUUAGUCAUGACACCUUUGCUUAUCCUGCCACUUUUUUCCUCUUCUUUCCUCCCUUCCCCCUUUCCUUCUCUCCCUCCUCUCUUUCUUUCUUAAAAAAAAAAAAAGUUUCUCUAGCCCCUAGCCACCUAUAUUCCAACUUCAUCCUUUUGCUGUGGCUGUGACUUGCUUCUAGCAUUCUGUGACUUCCCCAAAGAAAUCUAGACAUUGAGUCAGGGAGAAAACACAGAGAUCAGGAGUUUGCAGAAUGUAUUCACUGAAGAGCAGAAAGUAUAAUGGAGCUGUAGGUGUGGCAGCAGCAGCAGCAGCAAGGAUAGAUGUCUGUGACCUUCCAAGAGGUAAGACAAGGCAUUUCUCAGUGGCUGCCAGCACUGAGUGACAAAUCCAGAAGAAGGAGGUGUUUACCCCCAAAACCAGGAUGCCAUGUAGAAAAAGGAGGAGGAACAUUCUGUAUCAAACACAAGAACCUGGAGGUGACUGGGUUAACCUGUGUUUACCUCUAUUAAGCUUGCUGUUCUCAGGCAGAAUGGAAUCUCACAAAAGAGAAUAUGUCUAGUUAAUAGAAAUUAUUUUUCCAAUUCUCAACUUUAGUUCCCCCGAGUAUGGACUUUUGAUAUGCUUGGCCUUUCAUUCUGCUUACACAGCCCUCUUUUCCCUUUCCUUGUUGGGUUUCUUGGCUUAUGACUUCUCCCAUUACCUCUGCUCCUGUCCUCCUCCUCACUUAUGCAAGGCCUGCACAUUUAUACAUGCAAAUUCUUGGGAGCACGUUUCUUUUAAGAAUCUCUCUGCCUCUUCGUCUGUCUUAAUGUAUCAGACAUCUUUCCCUAGGAGCCAAUUAGCUGGUCCCUUAGAUUCUAUGAUUUUGAUCUGUGACACUGACUUACUGACCUUGCCCUAAAUAUUCCUAAUAGUAACCUUCAAUGAAAUCUGAAUCACAUGGUGGAAUGUGAGGGCAUGCUAUGUGUAUAAUGUACAAUACAGUCAUUUUUUGAAUAAAUAACAGAAUAAUGAUAGUUAUCUAAUACGCAUAUAUAGUAUUUACCUUUAAAAAUAACGUUUUCACACACAUCUCAUUUUAACCUUGAAUUAUGAAGAUAAACAGUGUUAGUUAGUUUUCCCUAAAAUAGAACAUACAGAAGAAAACAUAGCAAUAAGCUGUACAGAUAAUAGACAAUAAGUAUAUGUUGAUUGAACAUGGGAAAAUGUGUAUGAAAAAUGUAACAAACACAUAAUCCUAUCUAAUUAUAAAAUAGAAACUGUGCCUUAUUUCCUUUGUGUUUUUCAUUCUGUGAUUACCAUUACUUAGAUACCACUUUUUUAUUUUUGGAAGCAUAAGCAAUGCACACUACCCUACGUCUGUUGAAACAUACAUGUUUUCAGAAAAAUCUAGAUGAACUCAAUGUAAUUCCUGGUUUUCUAACUCUAGAGUAAGAUUGCCCAUGUAUGAAAGCCAUCUUCAUUGUUUACCAGCUCUUUGACUCUAGGAAAGCUGCUUCCGCUCUCCAUGCCUCGGUUUCUUAAUCUGAAAAAUGAUGAUAAAGUAUAUUAUUUAUAGUAUUGUGAAGAUUAAACAGGUAACAUGAAACCCCUAGUAAGCAUAUAAUUUGAGGUUUUUAUGAUUAUUCUUCUUACAGAUAUUUACAAUUUUACAAAUGUCCUUUAUUUCCAAUCUGUAAAUAUGGCUAAAAUAUGAUGCUAUUUUGGGACAGGUCAAAGUUAUCUAUGGCGCACUAGUUAAUGUUGACAUGUAAUAUAUUUCAAUGUAAUCAUUUUCAAAAAAGUCGGAGUAGUGUUUUCUGAAUUUUGAUGUAACUAGAAGAAUAAAAACAGCAGGAAAUGAAGAAUGAAUUUAGUUUCUUACACAAAUAAUUGACUUAAUGAAAGGGGAAAUUUAAGAUCCUUAGUUUUGUAAUCACGUGUUUAUUUCUGAGUUUACUGAUAUCAUGGCUUCCACACUUUGAGAAUUCUCUGUGGUAUUAAUAACCAAAUAUUUCUAGCUCUCAUCUCUUUUGAAUAUGUGUGAGGGUUGUAUUUGCUGGCCUUGGAAGGUAAGCCUGGCGUGUGACACAUUUUGAUCAAUGAAAUGUGAGGAGUGACAAUUGCCUCCCUUUUUUACUUGCACUGCUUUGAUUGUGGAAGCACUGGUCAAGGGGAACUUUCCACCAUCCUGAGUCUCAGCGUGACUAUGAUGAGAGCGCCCCCUGCUGCCCUUCAUUGGAUAGGAAGCAAAAGCGAAACAAACCCUUGUGUUAGACUAUGACACUCUGGGGUUGUGAGUAACUAAACUGGACUAGAUCAUCCUGACUGUCACAAUAUUUACUUAGAAUUUGAAUUGUUGUUUACAUUUAUUUUUACUUUUAAAAUUAUAAAAAAAAUAAUGUAUUAGAACACUUUUCAUUAGAUACACAAUUUGCCUGAAUUUUCAAUUUAAAAGAACUUGACAAUUUAAUCUGAUUUAAUUUUUUAAUUUCUCAAACUAUAGUUAGUACUUCUCAGGCAGUAGUUUGUCUAUGGCAUGUCUCCAGUGCAGUACAGUAAGCUUUAAACAGAGCAGCCAUGUUCAGGGGAGGUGAAUUGGUCAUUUAAUAAGAUUCUUUGGUACUUAGCUAAUGACUUGUGAGUAUGAAGCAAAACAAUUAAAAUAUAAAUUGAUGAAAUUCAGGAACAUUUGUCAAGUGUCAAGCAUGUAUAAAGAACUGUGAUAAAUCUUUAAGGGAAAAAUAAAUGAAAACUCUUGAAAUGAAAUAUUCAUAUGAUUUUCUAACUUAGUGAUGCUGCUUUACAAGAUUUCCAAUAGAAACUAUCACUAAUGAAUUGUGAAACAGUUUGAAAAGGGCUUUCUGUGAAUCAGCCUGUCUUUGGUUUGGGUAUUUAUUG